AACUUUCGACAACGGAUCUCUUGGUUCUCGCAUCGAUGAAGAACGCAGCGAAAUGCGAUACUUAAUGUGAAUUGCAGACUUUGUGAAUCAUCGAGUUUUUGAACGCAUAUUGCACUCUUUGGUAUUCCGAAGAGUAUACUUGUUUCAGUAUCAUGAAAUCUCUCAUGGCUUCCAGUUCUUUUUGAAUUUGGGAGUUAUGGACUUGAGCUUUAGCGAAAACUCUCGGGUUAUUGCAAGCUUCAAAUAGAUUUCACUUUGGGGCAAUCUGUGAAAUAGCUUAAUAGUAUUUGACUCUCGGGUUAAAUUCUUUGGCUCUUUUCUCUAAAAGAUUGACCCAAAGAGAUCAAAACGAAUGAUAUUAAUCUCAUAUUUUUGAUCUGAAAUCAAGUAGGAUUACCCGCUGAACUUAAGCAUAUCAAUAAGCGGAGGCU
rnacentral:misc_RNA from 1 species